rnacentral:ncRNA from 2 species
UUCUUGUUCUUUAUUUUUUGCGACGAUAAUCAUCAUCAGGGAAUUCGGUGAGAAUCCGAGACUGUACCCGCAACUGUGAUAACCGUUAAGUCGAAUUGCAAAAAGCCAUUGCGAAAGUGAGAAGGCGCGAUUCGAAGGUUUAAGUCAGGAGACCGGCAAAACUAAAUUAAUCUUA